rnacentral:rRNA from 1 species
AGCAGUAGCCACGGGAAUACGUAUGUCGCGAGCGUUAUCCGGAAUUAUUGGGCAUAAAGGGCAUCUAGGCGGCCGGAUAAGUCUGGGGUGAAAACUUGCGGCUCAACCGCAAGCCUGCCCUGGAAACUAUGCGGCUAGAGUACUGGAGAGGUGGACGGAACUGCACGAGUAGAGGUGAAAUUCGUAGAUAUGUGCAGGAAUGCCGAUGAUGAAGAUAGUUCACUGGACGGUAACUGACGCUGAAGUGCGAAAGCUAGGGGAGCAAACAGGAUUAGAUACCCGCGUAGUCCCUGUCUCUUAUAC